rnacentral:rRNA from 1 species
UACGUAGGGUGCGAGCGUUAAUCGGAAUUACUGGGCGUAAAGCGUGCGCAGGCGGUGUUGGAAGACAGAUGUGAAAUCCCCGGGCUUAACCUGGGACCUGCAUUUGUGACUGCAUCGCUAGAGUACGGCAGAGGGGGAUGGAAUUCCGCGUGUAGCAGUGAAAUGCGUAGAUAUGCGGAGGAACACCGAUGGCGAAGGCAAUCCCCUGGGCCUGUACUGACGCUCAUGCACGAAAGCGUGGGGAGCAAACAGG